rnacentral:tRNA from 1 species
GCGGGUGUGGUGUAGUGGCCGCAUGAGACCCCUCCAAGGUUGAGGUGCGGGUUCGAUUCCCGCCACCCGCU